rnacentral:tmRNA from 1 species
GGGGACGACAUGGCUUCGACGUGGUCGGCUUCGUGGCGGUGGUUGCGAGCCGAGGUGCCAGGAGGCCUCGUAAAACACCUGGCAAAACCAUAAGUGCGGACUCUCACGAGUUCGCGUACGCCUAGCACCAACUAGGCGUGCGCUCCGGCCCCCCGCCUGCCGGCCGCGGGGACCCGCCGGAUCAGAAUGCCGGCUCACCCGGGGAGGUCCGCUUCCGCCGAACCGGGGACAUCUUCAGGGAGCUGGCCUUCGGGAACCCCGCCGGCGAGGCGACCCGAAGGCGAGAUCAGAGCGCCGGAUACGCUCGUAGACGCCACCCCCACGCGAUCGCGGACGCGGGUUCGAUUCCCGCCGUCUCCACUC